rnacentral:lncRNA from 1 species
CCCUAUCUGUUCGCCCGACCCCUCGUCCAUCUCGCCCGACCCUAUCUGUUCACCCGACCCCUUCUCCGUCUCGUCCGACCCUGUCUGUUUCGCCGACCCUUUUUCCGCCUUGCCCGAGGACUCGGCUGUAUCUUUUUCCUUGACCCGAGGGUAUAUGUGUAAAAAUCGGGGACUUCUCUGCGCUAAGUCUGAGGACCCCCAGCACAGCUAUUCCUCUAGUCUAAGGGUCAGAU